AUUGAACGCUGGCGGCAGGCCUAACACAUGCAAGUCGAACGGUAACAGGAAACUGCUUGCUGUUUCGCUGACGAGUGGCGGACGGGUGAGUAAUGUCUGGGAAACUGCCUGAUGGAGGGGGAUAACUACUGGAAACGGUAGCUAAUACCGCAUAACGUCGCAAGACCAAAGAGGGGGACCUUCGGGCCUCUUGCCAUCGGCUGUGCCCAGAUGGGAUUAGCUAGUAGGUGGGGUAACGGCUCACCUAGGCGACGAUCCCUAGCUGGUCUGAGAGGAUGACCAGCCACACUGGAACUGAGACACGGUCCAGACUCCUACGGGAGGCAGCAGUGGGGAAUAUUGCACAAUGGGCGCAAGCCUGAUGCAGCCAUGCCGCGUGUAUGAAGAAGGCCUUCGGGUUGUAAAGUACUUUCAGCGGGGAGGAAGGGAGUAAAGUUAAUACCUUUACUCAUUGACGUUACCCGCAGAAGAAGCACCGGCUAACUCCGUG
rnacentral:rRNA from 1 species